GGCUCUGUAGCUUAGUGGUUAAAGCGCCUGUCUCAUACGCAGGAGAUCGAGAGUUCAAUUCUCUCCAGAGCCA
rnacentral:tRNA from 1 species